AUUGGGACCAACACGAGUGCAAUUAAUUCUUCUUGUGAUGACCAUAGGCAACACCAAGAAGAGGCCCGAGUGAGGGAGUCCAAGGGACAUGAAGGUGGAAAGUGCCUUGCAGGACCAGAUGAUGGAACUCCAGGAGGCCACAGGCAGUAAGACUGUAAGAGCAGGAGGAGGGAAAAUUGAGGUUAUUGACUCAAGCUUUGGGAAACCCAACAGGCAAGUACAAAGCAGGUUCCGUGGAAGGGACCUCCACUUGCUUCUUGGAGAUAUACGUGGCUAGGAAGAGCAUGACUGCCACCCUUGCUAUAUCAGAAGGCCAGACAAACUGCAAAUUCAAACUUUCCUGGAAUUCAUAAGACAGCAAGGUCACAGGGCAAAGAAGUAACCCAAGAUGGAAGGACAGACAGACAUCUGCAGGAAAAGAUGAGACAUCAGCCCUUGCUUCCCUGGGGCAGAUGCAGCAG
rnacentral:lncRNA from 1 species